GGGCUCGAUGGUCAGGCCGAACAGGCGAUUCUUGUAAGGCCGCAAACGCGCGGGAAGUUCGAGUUUUUCCAGAUCCUC
rnacentral:tRNA from 1 species